rnacentral:piRNA from 1 species
UACACAGUCAUAAAUGUUUGGAGGUAUCGU